CGUCGCCUUAAGGCGAUCUCUCGCGCGUGCUAUCGAAAAACCAACGCUUUCGACUUUGAUCCGACGAAAGCGUACGUGACGAACAGGAUCGGGUGAAAUGUCACUUCGAACGGUGAACAAUAACGACCGACGGUUGAACGAGGAUACUUGGUAAUUAACGUUGCUGUUUGAUGGGGGCCCUCGCGCGUUUGUCCCUUUAGUACUGUGUUCUGGGUGCAGAGGGCACGCAUUGGAUAUGGUGUCCAUGGACAUGGGGUGAGAGGUGAAAUGGGAGCAGAGUGGGGGAACGGAGGAGAUCAAGUGGAAAAGUUCCUUAAACCGUGGAACUUCGAAUAGCGAUAUUAUAAUGAGACCUGUGCCGUUCGAAGCUCUGAGCAAAUAACUCCUGCCGCUGGGGUCUGCGACUCGCAGAGCUGCAAGCGGCAAGAAUCAUCUAAUCAGCGGAAGAUGCGGUUAAAUGAAUUUAUAAUUCAUUCCGCGGAUAGUAUUCGCGUGAAAUUUUUGUCUCGCUUCGCGGUCCCCUGUGGGCAACACGGUUGAAAGUAAUCACGAGAAGAGAGAGGCGCAGAGAGAGAGAGUGUCGGGAGACACAUUUGAAUCGUUAAUGCGACUUGCAAAAGGAUACAUUCCAGCAUCUCCUGUAUUCCAAAGGUCGAGAGCUCUCCGUGGGUGGAAUAACAGGCGACGAACUCUUUGCGGAGAUCGUGGAAGUGGUUGUAGUGUUCCGGCAGCUCGAUGGCUUUGUUGCAGGCCUCUGGGUGCAGGCAUUGUCUUAAUGGCGCUUGUCCGUCUACGACGAAACGCGGCGAGGAACCGGACGUCACGCAGGACAUGGACGACCACCAUGCUUCGAACUUUCGUUAAAAAUCAAAUUCUUUAUGCGUUACUUCCAGCUCAAGCCUCGUGAAAAAGAGAAAAAUAUUUCUAGUCUAAUGAAAGUAAACCCCGAGGCUAACUCUACGUAAGUUAACUCUAAGUAACACUGAUUUACCGACAAAUUACCGACUCUUCUAAGGUAACUUUAACAAUUUCAAAGAUAAUUAUUAAAUUGUAACGAACACGCUAACUACUAGAAAAAUGGUAGACGGUUCAUAAUUAUUCACAUAGGUACAUUUGUAAUUCAGAUAGGACGCGUUUUCCGCUUCUUAUUCCGUGAAGUUGAUCAGCUUCGCUGGCAAGAUGUUCGUACACAUUUGAUUACCCGAAUUUAUGAACGUUUAUCUACGUUUAUAUUCG